rnacentral:rRNA from 1 species
GAUGAACGCUGGCGGCGUGCCUAAUACAUGCAAGUCGAGCGAACAGACGAGGAGCUUGCUCCUCUGACGUUAGCGGCGGACGGGUGAGUAACACGUGGAUAACCUACCUAUAAGACUGGGAUAACUUCGGGAAACCGGAGCUAAUACCGGAUAAUAUAUUGAACCGCAUGGUUCAAUAGUGAAAGACGGUUUUGCUGUCACGUAUAGAUGGAUCCGCGCCGCAUGAGCUAGUUGGUAAGGUAACGGCUUACCAAGGCAACGAUGCGUAGCCGACGUGAGAGGCGGAUCGGCCACACUGGAACUGAGCCACGGUCAAGACUCCUACGGGAGGCAGCAGUAGGGAAUCUUCCGCAAUGGGCGAAAGCCUGACGGAGCAACGCCGCGUGAGUGACGAAGGUCUUCGGAUCGUAAAACUCUGCUAUUAGGGAAGAACAACUGUGUAAGUAAAUAUGCACGUCUUGACGGUAACUAAUCAGAAAGCCACGGCUAACUACGUG